rnacentral:rRNA from 1 species
ACUCGACUCCAUGAAGUCGGAAUCGCUAGUAAUCGUGGAUCAGAAUGCCACGGUGAAUACGUUCCCGGGCCUUGUACACACCGCCCGUCACACCAUGGGAGUGGGCUGCAAAAGAAGUAGGUAGUUUAACCUUCGGGGGGACGCUUACCACUUUGUGGUUCAUGACUGGGGUGAAGUCGUAACAAGGUAGCGCUAGGGGAACCUGGCGCUGGAUCACCUCCUUAAACGAUGAU